rnacentral:rRNA from 1 species
UACGGAGGGGGCUAGCGUUGUUCGGAAUUACUGGGCGUAAAGCGCACGUAGGCGGCUUUGUAAGUUAGAGGUGAAAGCCCGGAGCUCAACUCCGGAAUUGCCUUUAAGACUGCAUCGCUUGAAUCAUGGAGAGGUGAGUGGAAUUCCGAGUGUAGAGGUGAAAUUCGUAGAUAUUAGGAGGAACACCGGUGGCGAAGGCGAUCAUCUGGGCUACAACUGACGCUGAGGCGCGAAAGCGUGGGGAGCAAACAGG